CUACGGGUCGCAGCAGCUAAGAAUAUUCCGCAAUGGACGAAAGUCUGACGGAGCGACGCCGCGUGGAUGACGAAGGCCGAAAGGUUGUAAAGUCCUUUUGUCGAUGAAGAAUAAUUGUGGGAGGGAAUGCCCGCAAGAUGACGUUAGUCGGCGAAUAAGCCCCGGCUAAUUACGUGCCAGCAGCCGCGGUAACACGUAAGGGGCAAGCGUUGUUCGGAAUUAUUGGGCGUAAAGGGUACGUAGGCGGUUUGGUAAGCCCGGCGUGAAAUCCUACAGCUUAACUGUAGAGCUGCGCUGGGAACUGCGAAACUUGAGUCAUGGAAGGGGAGUUAGAAUUCCAGGUGUAGGGGUGAAAUCUGUAGAUAUCUGGAAGAAUACCGGUGGCGAAGGCGAACUCCUGGCCAAUGACUGACGCUGAGGUACGAAAGUGCGGGGAGCAAACAGGAUUAGAUACCCUUGUAGUC
rnacentral:rRNA from 1 species